CUGUGCUAGUGAGGUGGCUCAGCA
rnacentral:miRNA from 1 species